CACCAGUCGCUACCUGAUGAGCCCCAAGAAGGGCGAAACCGGUC
rnacentral:hammerhead_ribozyme from 13 species